rnacentral:rRNA from 1 species
GAUGAACGCUGGCGGCGUGCCUAAUACAUGCAAGUCGAGCGAACGGACGAGAAGCUUGCUUCUCUGAUGUUAGCGGCGGACGGGUGAGUAACACGUGGAUAACCUACCUAUAAGACUGGGAUAACUUCGGGAAACCGGAGCUAAUACCGGAUAAUAUUUUGAACCGCAUGGUUCAAAAGUGAAAGGCGGUCUUGCUGUCACUUAUAGAUGGAUCCGCGCUGCAUUAGCUAGUUGGUAAGGUAACGGCUUACCAAGGCAACGAUGCAUAGCCGACCUGAGAGGGUGAUCGGCCACACUGGAACUGAGACACGGUCCAGACUCCUACGGGAGGCAGCAGUAGGGAAUCUUCCGCAAUGGGCGAAAGCCUGACGGAGCAACGCCGCGUGAGUGAUGAAGGUCUUCGGAUCGUAAAACUCUGUUAUUAGGGAAGAACAUAUGUGCAAGUAACUGUGCACAUCUUGACGGUACCUAAUCAGAAAGCCACGGCUAACUACGUG